rnacentral:rRNA from 1 species
AUUGAACGCUGGCGGCAGGCCUAACACAUGCAAGUCGAGCGGAUGAAGGGAGCUUGCUCCUGGAUUCAGCGGCGGACGGGUGAGUAAUGCCUAGGAAUCUGCCUGGUAGUGGGGGAUAACGUCCGGAAACGGGCGCUAAUACCGCAUACGUCCUGAGGGAGAAAGUGGGGGAUCUUCGGACCUCACGCUAUCAGAUGAGCCUAGGUCGGAUUAGCUAGUUGGUGGGGUAAAGGCCUACCAAGGCGACGAUCCGUAACUGGUCUGAGAGGAUGAUCAGUCACACUGGAACUGAGACACGGUCCAGACUCCUACGGGAGGCAGCAGUGGGGAAUAUUGGACAAUGGGCGAAAGCCUGAUCCAGCCAUGCCGCGUGUGUGAAGAAGGUCUUCGGAUUGUAAAGCACUUUAAGUGGGAGGAAGGGCAGUAAGUUAAUACCUUGCUGUUUUGACGUUACCAACAGAAUAAGCACCGGCUAACUUCGUG